GUGGCUCUCCCUCUGGACAUUCCUCAUUGGUCCCUCUGCACAAGGUGCUUAAUAUAAUAUGGGAUGCUACUUCAGGAUCUCCUACAUCCUAACCCUGUAGAUUGCAGACACAGCUAACAGAGCCCGCCUUCCUGGAUCCAUGGUCAACGAGCAUGCUCACAGUCCGGUGCAGCCCAUGCCCCGCCCACUGCAGUGCUGGAACCAGGUCAUCCUUCCCACUACCUGAUGUAUAAAUAAAUAAAUAACUGUGAAAAAAAAUCCAA